AUUGAACGCUGGCGGCAGGCCUAACACAUGCAAGUCGAACGGUAACAGGAAUCAGCUUGCUGAUUUGCUGACGAGUGGCGGACGGGUGAGUAAUGUCUGGGAAACUGCCUGAUGGAGGGGGAUAACUACUGGAAACGGUAGCUAAUACCGCAUAACGUCGCAAGACCAAAGAGGGGGACCUUCGGGCCUCUUGCCAUCGGAUGUGCCCAGAGGGGAUUAGCUAGUAGGUGGGGUAACGGCUCACCUAGGCGACGAUCCCUAGCUGGGCUGAGAGGAUAGCCAGCCACACUGGAACUGAGACACGGUCCAGGCUCCUACGGGAGGCAGCAGUGGGGAAUAUUGCACAAUGGGCGCAAGCCUGAUGCAGCCAUGCCGCGUGUAUGAAGAAGGCCUUCGGGUUGUAAAGUACUUUCAGCGGGGAGGAAGGGAGUAAAGUUAAUACCUUUGCUCAUUAACGUUACCCGCAGAAGAAGCACCGGCUAACUCCGUGCCAGCCGCCGCCGUAACAC
rnacentral:rRNA from 1 species